UUCUGGUAUAAAAUAUGACGC
rnacentral:piRNA from 1 species